rnacentral:rRNA from 1 species
GAGUUUGAUCCUGGCUCAGGAUGAACGCUGGCGGCGUGCUUAAUACAUGCAAGUCGAACGGAAAGCGGUGCUGAUUGCUUAGGUGAUUGGUGUCGUGGAGAGUGGCGAACGGGUGCGAAACACGUAGGUAACCUGCCCUGAAAGGGGGGAUAACCACGGGAAACUGGGGCUAAUACCGCAUAAUCUCGCCGGGGCGGGUGGUUUCGGUGAGGAAAGCUGAGGCGAUUUGGGAGGGGCCUGCGGUCGAUUAGCUGGUUGGUGGGGUAAAGGCCUACCAAGGCGAUGAUCGAUAGCUGUUCUGAGAGGAAGACCAGCCACACGGGAACUGAGACACGGUUCCGACUCCUACGGGGGGCAGCAGUGAGGAAUAUUGCGCAAUGGGGGGAACCCUGACGCAGCAACGCCGCGUGGAGGACGAAGGUUUUCGGAUUGUAAACUCCUUAACUGGGGGAAGAGAGAGGACGGUACCCCAGGACGAAGACACGGCUAACUAGGUGCCAGCAGCCGCGGUAAUACCUAGGUGUCGAGCGUUAUCCGGAAUUACUGGGCGUAAAGGGUGCGCAGGCGGCGAUACAAGUCUGGCGUGAAAGCUUCUGGCUUAACUGGGAGAGGACGUUGGAAACUGUAUGGCUAGAGUGAAUGAGAGGGGGGCGGAAAUCCCGGUGUAGUGGUGGAAUGCGUAGAUAUCGGGAAGAACACCAGAGGCGAAGGCAGCCUCCUGGCAUUUUACUGACGCUGAGGCACGAAAGCGUGGGUAGCGAACGGGAUUAGAUACCCUGGUAGUC